GCGAGCGAAGUGGGAAGAGCCUGGUAUGAUUUAGCUGUAAUUAUAGUAGAACAAGUUGGGAAGCUUGACUAUAGAGGGUGAUAGUCCCGUAUACGAAAUAAUCACAGUGGAACUAAGCAUACGAACAAGUAGGACGGGGCACGUGUAACCUUGUCUGAAUAUGGGGGGACCAUCCUCCAAGGCUAACUACUCCUGAAUGACCGAUAGUGAACUAGUACCGUGAGGGAAAGGUGAAAAGAA
rnacentral:rRNA from 1 species